UAGGGAAUCUUCCGCAAUGGGCGAAAGCCUGACGGAGCAACGCCGCGUGAGUGAUGAAGGUCUUCGGAACGUAAAACUCUGUUAUUAGGGAAGAACAAAUGUGUAAGUAACUAUGCACGUCUUGACGGUACCUAAUCAGAAAGCCACGGCUAACUACGUGCCAGCAGCCGCGGUAAUACGUAGGUGGCAAGCGUUAUCCGGAAUUAUUGGGCGUAAAGCGCGCGUAGGCGGUUUUUUAAGUCUGAUGUGAAAGCCCACGGCUCAACCGUGGAGGGUCAUGGGAAACUGGAAAACUUGAGUGCAGAAGAGGAAAGUGGAAUUCCAUGUGUAUCGGUGAAAUGCGCAGAGAUAUGGAGGAACACCAUUGGCGAAGGCGACUUUCUGGUCUGUAACUGACGCUGAUGUGCGAAAGCGUGGGGAUCAAACAGG
rnacentral:rRNA from 1 species